ensembl:lncRNA
GUGGCGCUAGUGGUAAAGAAUCCACCUGCCAAUGCAAGAGAUGUAAAAGAUGUGGGUUCAAUCCCUGGGUCGGGAAGAUCCCCUGAAGGAGGAAACAGCAGAUCCCCUGAAGGAGGAAAGAGCAACCCACUCCAGUAUUCUUGCCUGGAAAAUUCCACGGACAGAGGAACCUGGUGGGCUACAGUCCAUGGGGUCCCACAGAGUCGGACACGACUGAGUGUCUCAGCACAUAAAUGUACAUAUAUACAUGAAAUAUUAUUCAGCCACAAAAAGAAAGAAAUUCUGCCAUAUGCCACACCAUGGAUGAACCUAGAGGACAUCAUGCUAAGAAAAUAAACCAGUCACAGAAAGACAAUUACCACAAGAUUCUACUUACAUGAGGGGCGGGAAUGUGAGGACGUUCACAUGCUGACCUUCCUGAAAUGAGGUUUUGAUUUAAUUUAUUUUAGAAGCUUCACCCUUCUUUUGAUAGUAGCUGACGGAUCCAAUCCCGUUCCCAUAUGCUUCCUGCUAUUUUAAAAGAAACAGUACACAAUUGCCUCAGAGAAGCACCAUGUGUUUCUGAAGUGUGAAUCUGAAAACCAUCCAUCUGGUCAUGCUGGCAUCUUCCUGAAUUGUAUGUGAUUGAAAGAAAUGUAUUCAACAUUUUGCAACUCUUUGGCUAGAUGAGGAAGCUAAUAAGAAAAAAAGAUUUUUUUCAUCUCCAUUUAUUGAAAAUCAACCCUUCAGCCUGGAAUACCUUGCCUACCCUUCUACCUGGCUCACCCCAUUAUCCAUCAAGAACCAAAUCUCAUGCUUUCUCCUUUGUGAAUGUCUCUGUAACUCUAAACUCUAUUGUUUGCACAACACAAUUCAUACUGAAUAGAAAUGAAAUCCUCAUGAAAAUGCUUAUUUACUUAAAUUAACAUCAUUUUAAAAAAUAUUGAUUCUUCUGUAAUCCAUGAACUCCUAAAAAGGAAGGCAGAUGGUCUUCAAUGCAAUUUAUUGAUUAUUUGACAAAAUAUUUAAAUAUUUCAAAUUCUAGUCUAGGAGCUGCAGAGAUAGAGUUGAAUAAGCAGAGAUCAUUUUUCUCUAUAUAGAUUACAAUCUAUCUACCCAAAGAAAAAAAUGAGUAAUUAAUUACACUAAAAUGUGAAGUUCAGUGAGGCG